CCCUUAGAUGUUCUGGGCCGCACGCGCGCUACACUGAUGCAUUCAACGAGCCUAUCCUUGACCGACAGGUCCGGGUAAUCUUUGAAUCUGCAUCGUGACGGGGAUAGAUUAUUGCAAUUAUUAAUCUUCAACGAGGAAUGCCUAGUAGGCGCAAGUCAUCAGCUUGCGUCGAUUACGUCCCUGCCCUUUGUACACACCGCCCGUCGCUCCUACCGAUUGGGUGUGCUGGUGAAAUGUUCGGAUCGGCCGUUUGUCGCGGUUUCCGCGGCCCGUGGCUGAGAAGUUCAUUAAACCCUCCCACCUAGAGGAAGGAGAAGUCGUAACA
rnacentral:rRNA from 1 species